rnacentral:SRP_RNA from 1 species
CUGCACUAGUCGGGGAGCCAGCGGUGCCCUGUAACCUGCAAUCCGCUACAGCAGGGAUGAAUUCCCAUGAUGAGGAUGUGUUAUGUGCUGUCAGCUGCCGGUGAGCAGUGAUGACGUUUCGGUCUCGCGCAACGAAAACCCGUGAACCAUGUCAGGUGAGGAAUCAAGCAGCAUUAAGCGGUGCUUUUCGUGUGCCGUGGGGUAGCCGGAGCCGAGCAAGCUGCCGGCGAGGCGGGUAUACAGCAUGAUUCGAGCGUGGGUGUGCAG